AGUGAACGCUGGCGGUAGGCCUAACACAUGCAAGUCGAACGGCAGCACAGUAAGAGCUUGCUCUUACGGGUGGCGAGUGGCGGACGGGUGAGGAAUACAUCGGAAUCUACUUUUUCGUGGGGGAUAACGUAGGGAAACUUACGCUAAUACCGCAUACGACCUACGGGUGAAAGCAGGGGAUCUUCGGACCUUGCGCGAUUGAAUGAGCCGAUGUCGGAUUAGCUAGUUGGCGGGGUAAAGGCCCACCAAGGCGACGAUCCGUAGCUGGUCUGAGAGGAUGAUCAGCCACACUGGAACUGAGACACGGUCCAGACUCCUAAGGGAGGCAGCAGUGGGGAAUAUGGGACAAUGGGCGCAAGCCUGAUCCAGCCAUACCGCGUGGGUGAAGAAGGCCUUCGGGUUGUAAAGACCUUUUGUUGGGAAAGAAAAGCAGCAGGUUAAUACCCAGCUGUUCUGACGGUACCCAAAGAAUAAGCACCGGCUAACUUCGUG
rnacentral:rRNA from 1 species